rnacentral:rRNA from 1 species
AUUGAACGCUGGCGGCAGGCCUAACACAUGCAAGUCGAGCGGAUGGAGGGAGCUUGCUCCUGGAUUCAGCGGCGGACGGGUGAGUAAUGCCUAGGAAUCUGCCUGGUAGUGGGGGAUAACGUCCGGAAACGGGCGCUAAUACCGCAUACGUCCUGAGGGAGAAAGUGGGGGAUCUUCGGACCUCACGCUAUCAGAUGAGCCUAGGUCGGAUUAGCUAGUUGGUGGGGUAAAGGCCUACCAAGGCGACGAUCCGUAACUGGUCUGAGAGGAUGAUCAGUCACACUGGAACUGAGACACGGUCCAGACUCCUACGGGAGGCAGCAGUGGGGAAUAUUGGACAAUGGGCGAAAGCCUGAUCCAGCCAUGCCGCGUGUGUGAAGAAGGUCUUCGGAUUGUAAAGCACUUUAAGUUGGAGGAAGGGCAGUAAGUUAAUACCUUGCUGUUUUGACGUUACCAACAGAAUAAGCACCGGCUAACUUCGUG